GGUAUCUAACGAGCUCGUUUUUUCUCCGUUGCUUGUAUGUUUUAUAUCAGAGGUUAGACAUAGUGUAUUUAGUCUCAUUUUUAAAUACCCAGAUGAUUACCGUGUGUAAAUCUGUGUUGUGUUUGUUUCAAAGAACUAUAGCUUUAUUCUAAUGAUCUUCAAGAUAUAAUUGUAUUACCCGUUGUUGUGAGAUUACUGAAGUUUGUUUUUUUGAUGACUUUUUCUUUUGAGAACUCAAAAGAUCCAAGAAGCUACCUAAAAAUUGAUGUGUGAGACUUUACUACAGAAAGUUUGAUUAUACUGGAUUGAGAAAUGUAUUCCUUGCUGGUUAUCAUUAUCAGAUUUGGAUUGGGCUUUGUAUUGGGUACUUCAUCAUCAUAUCGUCGCCCUUGGGAAAUUUUCCAAGAUCUUAAUUUCUGACUAGUUGAUAUUGGGAACGUAGUCUGCCAAGAUCACCAUUGCUGACUUAUUUCCAUGAGGACCGUAGCCUGCCGAGAUCUCCGUUACUGACCUAGUUUCCAUGAGGACCGUAUCCUGCCGAGAUCUCUAUUACUGACUUAGUUUCCAUGAGGAGGACCGUAGCCUGCCGAGAUCUCCAUUACUGACCUAGUUUCCAUGAGGAGGACCGUAGCCUGCCGAGAUCUCCAUUGCUGACCUAGUUUCCAUGAGGAGGACCGUAGCCUGCCGAGAUCUCCAUUACUGACCUAGUUUCCAUGAGGAGGACUGUAGCCUGCCGAGAUCUCCAUUACUGACCUAGUUUCCAUGAGGACCGUAUCCUGCCGAGAUCUCCAUUACUGACU